rfam:Glossina brevipalpis unplaced genomic scaffold Scaffold229, whole genome shotgun sequence.
GGUUUUGUACGUAGGCACCAUCGAUGGUGAAUCGCACGUGCUACUGGCACGGGCCGGUAGUAUCUUUGGAAGAUUCCC